rnacentral:rRNA from 1 species
UACGUAGGUGGCAAGCGUUUGUCCGGAUUUAUUGGGUUUAAAGGGUGCGUAGGCGGCUUGUCGCGUCGACUGUGAAACCCGCGGCUCAACCGUGUGGUCUGCAGUCGAUACGGGCAGGCUAGAGUUCGGUAGGGGAGACGUGGAAUUCCUGGUGUAGCGGUGAAAUGACGCAGAUAUCAGGAGGAACACCGGUGGCGAAGGCGGGUCUCUGGGCAGUAACUGACGCUGAGGAGCGAAAGCGUGGGGAGCGAACAGG